rnacentral:sRNA from 2 species
UGUAUCGGAAGCCUGACGAGGAUGAGAACCUCCGGGGGCAAGAGGUUCGACUCGAGCGCAGCGAGAGAACGUUGCGUCAGCAACGGCCCGCAGGGCGAGCCA